CCUACGGGGGGCAGCAGUGGGGAAUAUUGCACAAUGGGGGAAACCCUGAUGCAGCGACGCCGCGUGCGUGAAGAAGUAUCUCGGUAUGUAAAGCUCUAUUAGCAGGGAAGAAGAAAGACGGUACCUGACUAAGAAGCCCCGGCUAACUACGUGCCAGCAGCCGCGGUAAUACGUAGGGGGCAAGCGUUAUCCGGAUUUACUGGGUGUAAAGGGAGCGUAGACGGUUGUGCAAGUCUGAAGUGAAAGGCCAGGGCUCAACCCUGGGACUGCUUUGGAAACUGUGGAGCUAGAGUGCUGGAGAGGUAAGUGGAAUGCCUAGUGUAGCGGUGAAAUGCGUAGAGAUUAGAAGGAACACCAGUGGCGAAGGCAGCUUACUGGACAGUAACUGACGUUGAGGCUCGAAAGCGUGGGGAGCAAACAGGAUUAGAUACCCCUGUAGUC
rnacentral:rRNA from 1 species